GGAAGGAUCAUUACUGAUUAAAAAUCCAUUCACUCCUCGUGAGCGAAUGGUGACAGGAUGAUGUCUAUCCCGCUUGCGGGAGAGGCAUGUAAAACUGUACCCUGUGUAUUUUACCAAUACGUAUCGCGAUCUCACUUUAGUAAUAAAGUUAGGCGCGAGUCGCCGGUACGCCCGGUUUGACAACCAUUUUCCCUUACUUGUGCUAUCGAGAAAAAAACAUAUCAAGACUCAAUAUGGGGGAUCACUUAGUCCUUAAAUCGAUGAAAAACAUAAUAAUUUGUGGAAAUUGAUGUGAGUUGUGAAAUUUUGUGAGCAUUGUGUUUUUGAAUGAGAAUUUCAGCGUGGAUGCAUUCGUAUCUAUGCUACAUUUGUUUCAGUAUAUAAACAGUCUAAUACGUAUUUACUAUUGCUAGAAUGCAAUGGUAUAAAAUCUAUAUGAUCACGUGAGUGAUGAGAGUCGAACGAAUUGACGUGUAUCUGAAAUCAAGUGUGACGACCCGCUGAACUUAAGCAUAUCAAUAAGCGGAGGAAAAGAAAUCAAAUGAGAUUUCCAUAGUAGCUGCGAGUGAACUUGAAUCAAGCCUAUUGCCAAUUCUUAUGUUUUGUACAAUAAGAGAUGAGGUGUAAAGGUGUCUCGUGUUCAACAGAGGUACAGCUUAAUUAUUAUUGAGUGAGUGCUCAGAGAAGGUGAAAAGCCUGUGUGGUUGUGCUAACCUGUUGAACCGUGAUACUAAAGAGUCUAGUUGUUUGAGAGUACAACUUAAAGCUGGUGGUAAAUUUCAUCAAAGGCUAAAUAUAUGAGGGGACUAAUAGCGAACAAGUACCAUGAGGGAAAGUUGAAAAGAACCCUGACGAGAGAGUUUAACAGUACGUGAAACCAUAUUGAGUAAAACAGAUAAAUGUGUUGUUAUGUGGUGUGCCUAUCAACAGUCUAUUUGGUGUUGUGAUGCCAUGAGUGUAGGUUGUCUAUUCAGCUGAUUGCUCGUGGUUAGCAUAGCCAGAGAUUCUGUGCACUAGUGCACACUCAAUCAUUGAGAAACUAUGCUGCUGCGGCAUCGGUGUGCAUCAGUCCGUACCUAGUACACAGUUGCAUGCUGGGCGUUAGCUAGCUGGCGUAGUUUAGCUGUGUUGACCUAACCUAGCUGUGGGUUGCGUUUAUCAAAGGUGGCUACUUUAUCUGCGAAUUGGUUUAUUCCUUUUUGCGGUGAGUAUGUUACUGUAGGUAAGCGGCUCGCCAUCAAUGGUUAACAUUAGUUAUUUGACCCGUCUUGAAACACGGACCAAGGAGUUCAAAUGGCACGCGAGUCAUUGGGUUUAAGCACCCGAAGGCGAAGUGAAAUGCAAACGUAUUGUUAUUUGUGGUUGUUCCAUGAUUAGGCGAUAAGCUACUCAUGCUUUCUGGGCAUUUGUAGACUACAAGCGUGAUGUUUGAGACCCGAAAGAUGGUGACCUAUGCCUAGUCAAGAUGAAGCCAGAGGAAACUCUGGUGGAUGUCUGAAGUUAUUCUGACGUGCAAAUCGCUAAUCUGAUCUGGGUAUAGGGGCGAAAGACUAAUCGAACCAUCUAGUAGCUGGUUCCUUC
rnacentral:misc_RNA from 1 species